AAGUCGUAACAAGGUUUCCGUAGGUGAACCUGCGGAAGGAUCAUUAAAAGAUGGAAGGCCCCCGAAGGUCAUCUGAAAAGCCGUAAAGCAAAAGGCGCCCCCCCGGUUCCUGGGAGGCGCCGAACGGUGAACCCCUUGUGAAAACCUUUGUUGCUUCGGCAGCGCCUCCCCUUGCCUCACGGCGAGGGGGGGGGGUCAGCCUGCCGGCGGCACGUUUAAAAACCCCUUCAUGCAAAGCAGCAUUUUAAAACGUCUGAGAGCGCAGUCGAAUGACACUUAAAAAAACUUUCAACAACGGAUCUCUUGGUUCCC
rnacentral:misc_RNA from 1 species